ACUCCGACUGACGUCUUUGGUUCCACCUGGAAGCAGGAAGGAGGACGUGAGAAAGCGGUUAUCUUUCUUCAGUGCCUCCCUCCUCAGAUGCCCCUCCCUCCUCAGAUGCCCCGCCUUUUUCUAGUAGUCUUGAUUUUGGAAAGAGGAUGGAGACAGCUUGGCUCUCCGAGUUCUCAGCUGUUGCCAGAGAAAGCACCCAACAACAAUUGCUUCCGUGACCAUCAGCAGCCCAGUGGACGGCAAUCAAUGGAAUGACUCAGAACUGGUCAAAGUAUUGAAAAUAAGUAACUGUUGAGUCACAGCCCUAAGUGAUGCAUCUACAUCGAUAUCCCCAAGGUUCAGGGGACAUCUGAAAGAGAAGUGGGCGGGCCGUAAAAGCCAGAGAAUGGAAGUAGCCCUGUGACAUGCCCCUGGGUCUGACACACACCGCACUCAUUAACGCGUAGUAGCUAUGGUUAUCUGCCCAAGAUUAAGCCUGUCUGUAAUAGUCUAGCAUGGAUGAGGGAAGCUCUCAAGGUUGAGGAGCUAUCGGCAGUUGAUGGCUGCUAGCAGAGAGAAAAUUGUUUUUCUUCAGAAGUGUGACCACUGGUAGGUUGCCCACAUUUCUGGGGAUGGCCCCAUACCCAUGUGCAUAGAGGCAGCACUAUUGGACUACUCAGUAGGUUAUACAGAAAAGAAGGGAGCUCGAUGGUUAAAAGCAUUUACUGCUCUUGUAGAAGAGCUAAGUUCAGUUCCUAGCACCUGCAUUGGGCAGCUCACACUGAUCGGUAGCUCCAGUUCCAGAGUUUCCAAUGCCCUCUCCUAGACCGUGCAGACACCUGCAUGCCUGUGCACAUGCCCACACAUGAAUGUAUGCACAUGAUAGUUUAAAAUGUUAUUAAAACUCAAUUAAAAAGAAGACAUGAAGGUAGGAAGGGGACAUGUAGGAGCUGAGAAGAGAUAGCUGGAGGUGGAUAUAGUCAAGAUACAUUGUAUGCAUGUAUGAAAUUGACAAACAAAUAUAAAAAUGUUUCAAGAA